GGUAAAAGUAAAAUUUUGGGGUAGUUGGAUGUGGUUAGAAGGUAGGAUUCUGGGGGAUAAGGUGGUUAGUGGAUGAAGUGGGGAGUUGUUUAAUUUUAAUUUUAAUUUAAUUUAUUUUUCCCAAAAUUCCCUCUAUUUGACUUUUUUUCUCUUCUCUUCUAUUCUUUUUCUCUCCUGAGUAAAUUUCAUUUCUCUCAAUUAUUCAAUCCUUGAUUUUGAUUAAACCGUGUGUUUUUGUUGGUUGAUCGGCAUUGUGGUGC
rnacentral:lncRNA from 1 species